GACAGAGGUGCCAAGCGUUACUGAGAAUCACUGGGUUUAAAGGGUGCGUAGGUGGCGCGUUAAGUCCGUUGUGAAAUCCCUGGGCUCAACCCAGGAAUUGCUUCGGAUACUGGCGUGCUUGAGGCCGGUAGGGGUCACUGGAACUGACGGUGGAGCGGUGAAAUGCGUAGAUAUCAGGAGGAACACCGGUGGCGAAGGCGGUGGGCUGGGCCGGCACUGACGCUGAGGAGCGAAAGCGUGGGGAGCGAACAGG
rnacentral:rRNA from 1 species